UACGGAAGGUCCGGGCGUUAUCCGGAUUUAUUGGGUUUAAAGGGAGCGUAGGCGGACUUUCAAGUCAGUGGUAAAAUCGUGUGGCUCAACCAUACCUCGCCAUUGAAACUGGGUGUCUUGAGUGAGCGAGAAGUAUGCGGAAUGCGUGGUGUAGCGGUGAAAUGCAUAGAUAUCACGAAGAACUCCGAUUGCGAAGGCAGCUCACUGGAGUGUAACUGACGCUGAUGCUCGAAAGUGUGGGUAUCAAA
rnacentral:rRNA from 1 species